rnacentral:rRNA from 1 species
GGNAUGGGCGAAGCCUGAUCCAGCCAUGCCGCGUGAGUGAAGAAGGCCUUCGGGUUGUAAAGCUCUUUUAGUCGGAAAGAAAGAGUUGCAAUGAAUAAUUGUGAUUUAUGACGGUACCGACAGAAAAAGCACCGGCUAACUACGUGCCAGCAGCCGCGGUAAUACGUAGGGUGCGAGCGUUAAUCGGAAUUACUGGGCGUAAAGGGUGCGCAGGCGGUUUUGCAAGUCAGAUGUGAAAGCCCCGGGCUUAACCUGGGAAUUGCGUUUGAAACUACAAAGCUAGAGUGCAGCAGAGGGGAGUGGAAUUCCAUGUGUAGCAGUGAAAUGCGUAGAGAUGUGGAAGAACACCGAUGGCGAAGGCAGCUCCCUGGGUUGACACUGACGCUCAUGCACGAAAGCGUGGGGAGCAAACAGGAUUAGAUACCCUGGCAGUCCACGCCCUAAACGAUGUCAACUGGUUGUCGGAUCUAAUUAAGGAUUUGGUAACGUAGCUAACGCGU